rnacentral:rRNA from 1 species
UACGUAGGGUGCGAGCGUUAAUCGGAAUUACUGGGCGUAAAGCGAGCGCAGACGGUUACUUAAGCAGGAUGUGAAAUCCCCGGGCUCAACCUGGGAACUGCGUUCUGAACUGGGUAGCUAGAGUAUGUCAGAGGGGGGUAGAAUUCCACGUGUAGCAGUGAAAUGCGUAGAGAUGUGGAGGAAUACCGAUGGCGAAGGCAGCCCCCUGGGAUAAUACUGACGUUCAUGCUCGAAAGCGUGGGUAGCAAACAGG